UACGUAGGGACCGAGCGUUGUCCGGAAUCAUUGGGCGUAAAGAGCGUGUAGGCGGCUUGUUAAGUCUUGCGUGAAAUCUCGGGGCUCAACCCCGAGCGGUCGUGAGAAACUGGCAGGCUAGAGUGCGGAAGAGGCGAGUGGAAUUCCUGGUGUAGCGGUGAAAUGCGCAGAUAUCAGGAGGAACACCAAUUGCGAAGGCAGCUCGCUGGGACGUGACUGACGCUGAGACGCGAAAGCGUGGGGAGCAAACAGG
rnacentral:rRNA from 1 species